GGUGCCUUGGCCGAGUGGUUAGGCAGAGGUCUGCAAAACCUCCUACAUUGGUUCGAAUCCGAUAGGCACCU
rnacentral:tRNA from 1 species